CUCAGAACGAACGCUGGCGGCGCGUCUUAAGCAUGCAAGUCGAACGGCAAGAGGUAGCAAUACCUCCUAGAGUGGCGGACUGGUGAGUAACACGUGGGUGACAUACCCUUCAGAUGGGGAUAGCUAUUAGAAAUAGUAGAUAAUACCGAAUACGAGCACAGGGGUUAGAGAUCUGUGAGGAAAGGAGCUAAGGCUCCGCUGAAGGAAUGGCCUGCGGCCCAUUAGCUAGUUGGUGAGGUAAGAGCCCACCAAGGCGAUGAUGGGUAUCCGGCCUUAGAGGGUGAACGGACACAUUGGGACUGAGAUACGGCCCAGACUCCUACGGGAGGCAGCAGCUAAGAAUAUUCCGCAAUGGACGAAAGUCUGACGGAGCGACGCCGCCGUGGAUGAAGAAGGCCGGAAGGUUGUAAAAUCCUUUUGAAACUGAAGAAUAAGCGUUGUAGGGAAUGACAGCGUGGUGACAGUAGGUUUUGAAUAAGCAACGGCUAAUUACGUGCCAGCCGCCGC
rnacentral:rRNA from 1 species